CUAACAUUGCUGCACAUUAUACACACCAUUAUAAUCACAUCACUAGCAAGAACUUGUUAUACUGCAGUAUCUUUAGCUAACAAUAAUUAUGUCAAAAAAUUAGAGUUUGUUUGAUCAUUUGUGACAAAGUGUUGGAGCAUUUUGUCAUGACUUUUAAGAGAAGUAGAAUUUUUCCAUUAUCAUGAUCCUAAUAUCCUCAAGCAUAGACAAUAAUAGACAAUAUCAUGCUAAAUGUGGUAUUUAAUCUUUGUCAAAUUUAUUUUAUUGAAAAUUGUAGUGUUUCAUAAAGAGGCUUCCGUUUGAUUAAAAAGCCACAUAUCCUCCUUAAGAUGAAUCUCCUCCUCAUGAUUUAAAUACAUUUUAAAUACGUUCUCCUCCCAUCAUCAGCAGAUAAGCAAAUCCAAGCGUCAGGGCUGGAUAUCACUCUAUUUAUGUGAUGUGAUGGUCUCUGUUAAACUUUGGAGAACAGAGAAGACCCCAGUACAAACAACACACACCAUGUUCUCUACAUCUCUACUGCUCCUGCUGGCAGCUGCUUCCUAUGUGCAUGGUGUGGAACUGACUCAGCCUGCUUCCAUGACAGUCGAGCCAGGCCAGAGUCUCUCCAUCCCCUGCAAGGUCUCAUAUUCAGUUACGAGUGAUGGUACAUCUUGGAUCCGACAACCUGCAGGAAAAGCUCUGGAGUGGAUCGGAUACAUCAGUAGCAGUGGGGGUACAGGUUACAGUGACAAACUGAAAAACAAGUUCAGCAUCUCCAGAGACACUGCUACUAACACAAUAACAAUUCGAGGACAGAAUCUGCAAACUGAAGACACAGCUGUGUAUUACUGCGCAAAAGGCUCACAGUGACACAGAAUAGUGGAUUCCCCUUACAAAAACUUUGAGACAUGUUAGAGACAUCCUCUCAAUGC